rnacentral:lncRNA from 1 species
GCCGGGGCCGGGCUGAAGGGGUUUGGGGCCGUGCCGGGGCCGGGCCGCCGGAGCCGCCCCCGGGAGGCGGGCUCCCCUCACGGCUGCUAUAAGAGGGCGGCGGCGGGGCCGCGCUCACUCGCUCCUCAGCGCUGCCGCCAGGCCCCGAGGUCAUUU